GAUAUUGCACAAUAGAGGAAACUGUGAUGCAGCGACGCCGCGUGAAAGAUGAAGGCCUACGGGUCGUAAAGUUCUGUCCUAGGGGACGAUAAUGACGGUACCCUAGGAGGAAGCCCCGGCUAACUACGUGCCAGCAGCCGCGGUAAUACGUAGGGGGCGAGCGUUGUCAGGAAUUAUUGGGCGUAAAGGGUUCGUAGGCGGUCUUUUAAGUCAGAUGUGAAAGGUCACGGCUCAACCGUGGUAAGCAUUUGAAACUGAAAGAAUUGAGUUAAGGAGAGGGAAGUGGAAUUCCUAGUAUCGCGGUGAAAUGCGUAGAUAUUAGGAGGAAUACCAGUGGCGAAGGCGACUUUCUGGACUUAUACAGACGCUGAGGAACGAAAGCGUAAGGAGCAAACGGG
rnacentral:rRNA from 1 species